UCGGGAAUUUUGGGCAAUGGGCGAAAGCCUGACCCAGCAACGCCGCGUGAAGGAUGAAGUAUUUCGGUAUGUAAACUUCGAAAGAAUAGGAAGAAUAAAUGACGGUACUAUUUAUAAGGUCCGGCUAACUACGUGCCAGCAGUCGCGGUAAUACGUAGGGACCAAGCGUUGUUCGGAUUUACUGGGCGUAAAGGGCGCGUAGGCGGCAAUUCAAGUCAUCUGUGAAAUCUCCGGGCUUAACUCGGAACGGUCAGAUGAUACUGCUUUGCUAGAGUGCAGAAGGGGCAAUCGGAAUUCUUGGUGUAGCGGUGAAAUGCGUAGAUAUCAAGAGGAACACCUGAGGUGAAGACGGGUUGCUGGGCUGACACUGACGCUGAGGCGCGAAAGCCAGGGGAGCAAACGGGAUUAGAUACCCUGGUAGUCCCUGAGCGGGCUGGCAAGGCGCAU
rnacentral:rRNA from 1 species